UGCCCAAGGUGACACGUUUCACCUCCAGGAGGAAGACGCGGGCUUGGUUUGGGUGUGCACUGUGGGGACAGGGAGCAGGCCCAGCAGGCCCAGGCUGCCCACAGCACUCAUCCCACCCCUGCCAGGGCAGACUGUCUGAAGUGAGGCUAUAUCUGCACUGCAACGUCCUGAAAAUCACAUUGUUUUCACUUGCCAAGGAACCAGCAAUGCUGUGGACACCAUAGUACCACAAAGAAAGCUCUGGAAAACACCCAGGUGGUCCAGGCACCUCCUGAGGGCUUGACUUCACCUGGGGCAGCUGUGUCUACUUUGUGGGCUUGGCCUUUAAAAGAUGAAGGUGCUAAAAGCCUCCCUGCUUUGGGGGAAGGCAUCUGCAGGGGUGGAAGGAAGCUAAGGCCUUGAUAUGAGGCCUUUGGAGCAGGAGGGUGCUCAGGGGCUCUUAGUGAAGCAUACAGACCUCAUGCUGAGAGGAGUUUAUUUUUUAAAGGGACAUUUGAAAUGGCUUCCCCCUCUCUACAGAGAGCUUCCUCUGUGCUUCUGGAAGCUUUUGCCGCAAUUAGAUUUGAGCGUGGCUCUCUUUGCUUCCAGAGUUGAUUACUUUUAAUUCAAUAUGUCUGCUUUCAUUAGGUUUCUUGUAUACUGGCUUCCAACAACGAAAGGAAAAAAGUCAAACCUAGAGCUCCUGCUCCUCUGCUGUGUCAUAGCACCAAGUUUGUGACCUGGAUGUAGGAGAAGAAAUCCCUGCUUCUGUCUUCAGAGGCCUGGAGGAAAAGUAGAACCCAUCCAGGCGUCCUCAUUUGGAGCUGUGCAAUAUUGCAUGGGAAGGGAGCUGCUGCUUCCCUGGGCAGAGGAGAGGGAAAAGCAUGGCUGAUGGAAACCUCAGCUUCAACACUUGCCUGGAGCUCCCUCCAUGCUGAUACUUUCCUGACAAGUUGUCAGUUUGGAAUGAUCUCCCUUCCCAACCUAGUUCCAGUUCUUCCUGAACUUCUCUGGAAAUCUCACCAGAAAUGGGUCACUUGGUAAAUGUGUAUAUGCUCACUUUUGUUCUAACUCCAUAGCACCUCUCCGUUAUAAACACUUCCCUGUGUUAUAGUCCUUGUCUUAAGUUGAUGUUCCACAUUGAUAUAAUAUGUUCUUUUCUCUGAUCUUCCCCA